rnacentral:rRNA from 1 species
UUAGGAAUAUUGGACAAUGGGCGCAAGCCUGAUCCAGCCAUGCCGCGUGAGUGAUGAAGGCCUUCGGGUUGUAAAACUCUUUAGCCGACGAUUAUAAUGACUGUAGUCGGAGAAUAAGCCCCGGCUAACUUCGUGCCAGCAGCCGCGGUAAUACGAAGGGGGCGAGCGUUAUUCGGAAUCACUGGGCGUAAAGCGUGCGUAGGCUGCUUUGCAAGUUGGGAGUGAAAGCCCGAGGCUCAACCUCGGAAUUGCUCUCAAAACUGCAAGGCUCGAAUCUCGGAGAGGAUAGCGGAAUUGUCAGUGUAGCAGUGAAAUGCGUAGAUAUUGACAGGAACACCAGUGGCGUAAGCGGCUAUCUGGACGAGUAUUGACGCUGAGGCACGAAAGCGUGGGGAUCAAA